rnacentral:rRNA from 1 species
GUCGGGGAAACGCCCGGUCCCAUUCCGAACCCGGAAGCUAAGCCCGUUCGCGCCGAUGGUACUGCGUGGGGGACUGCGUGGGAGAGUAGGUCGCCGCCGGAC